rnacentral:rRNA from 1 species
CAGUAGCCGCGGGAAUACGUAGGUGGCAAGCGUUGUCCGGAAUUAUUGGGCGUAAAGGGCUCGCGGGCGGUUUCUUAAGUCUGAUGUGAAAGCCCCCGGCUCAACCGGGGAGGGUCAUUGGAAACUGGGAAACUUGAGUGCAGAAGAGGAGAGUGGAAUUCCACGUGUAGCGGUGAAAUGCGUAGAGAUGUGGAGGAACACCAGUGGCGAAGGCGACUCUCUGGCCUGUAACUGACGCUGAGGAGCGAAAGCGUGGGGAGCGAACAGGAUUAGAUACCCGUGUAGUCCCUGUCUCUUAUAC